rnacentral:misc_RNA from 1 species
UCUCCGUAGGUGAACCUGCGGAAGGAUCAUUAACGAGUUGUCAUGUGGUACGAUGCUGGAAGCCAGUUUUUGGAUGCAUGUACUUGCCAUAACAAUCAUCUUCUUCCAAACACCUGUGCACAUUGUUGAGGGAGUCUUGAGUUGGUUGCCGCUCUUGGGUGAUUUUCUCACAUUCCCUUAAAUCAUUAUACGCUAUUAACACUGUUGAACGUGCUUUGUGCCGCACGACAAAUAAUAUAUUACAACUUUUAACAACGGAUCUCUUGGUUCUC